AUCCACCUGACGAGUCCCGAAUGGGACUAAAUGCACAUCGUGGAU
rnacentral:hammerhead_ribozyme from 1 species